rnacentral:rRNA from 1 species
GAUGAACGCUGGCGGCGUGCCUAACACAUGCAAGUCGUACGCACUGGCCCAACUGAUUGAUGGUGCUUGCACCUGAUUGACGAUGGAUCACCAGUGAGUGGCGGACGGGUGAGUAACGCGUAGGUAACCUGCCCCGGAGCGGGGGAUAACAUUUGGAAACAGAUGCUAAUACCGCAUAACAACAAAAGCCGCAUGGUUUUUGUUUGAAAGAUGGCUUUGGCUAUCACUCUUGGAUGGACCUGCGGUGCAUUAGCUAGUUGGUAAGGUAACGGCUUACCAAGGCAAUGAUGCAUAGCCGAGUUGAGAGACUGAUCGGCCACAUUGGGACUGAGACACGGCCCAA